AAAAAGGGCAGGCCUGUAACACGGCGCAGCCAACCCGUCGGAUCGCCCGCGAGGGUGGACCGCGCUUCUUGCCUGCGGCGAAUCGCGAUCAUGAGAUUUGCCCUGCAGAAUUUGUGACCCGCCGGUGCGUGAACGGGCCUCUCUUGCGAGGCUGCUUCCACCGG
rnacentral:snRNA from 1 species